AGCGAACGCUGGCGGCAGGCUUAACACAUGCAAGUCGAGCGGGCAUCCUUGUGGUGUCAGCGGCAGACGGGUGAGUAACGCGUGGGAACGUGCCCUUCGGUUCGGAAUAACUCAGGGAAACUUGAGCUAAUACCGGAUACGUGCGAGAGCAGAAAGGUUUAUCUGCCGAAGGAUCGGCCCGCGUCUGAUUAGCUAGUUGGUGAGGUUACGGCUCACCAAGGCGACGAUCAGUAGCUGGUCUGAGAGGAUGAUCAGCCACACUGGGACUGAGACACGGCCCAGACUCCUACGGGAGGCAGCAGAGGGGAAUAUUGGACAAUGGGGGCAACCCUGAUCCAGCCAUGCCGCGUGAGUGAUGACGGCCUUAGGGUUGUAAAGCUCUUUUCUCCGGGACGAUAAUGACGGUACCGGAGGAAUAAGCCCCGGCUAACUUCGUG
rnacentral:rRNA from 1 species